UUCUUUUAGUUUGUGUGCUCCAUUGAGAUUGACGUUAAGAAAAGAAAGUAAUUAAAAAAUGGGAUUUUGCGUACCCGGAUGCAAGAUUUCGUAGAAUUAGUCUGUAGCCCUAUAAAACCUUUGACAUUCUUGUGGUUAUCAAAAAAAAAAAAAGUAACUAAUCAACCGAUCGACCGGAAUGUCAUCAGUUAUGAGUUGAUAUCACACCUUAGUGGCGGAUCUAGAAAAUAUAACGAGUGGGGACAAAAACAAUAAAAUAGGUAUUUGGUUAUUUGAACAUUGGUUGGGUGGGUGCAAAUAGAAGAUUUUAAACCAAUUAUGCUGCAAAAUAUUAUAAAUUCUGGUACAUUCAAAUUUAGUUGUAUUUUUUUUCUGGGGGCAGCUGCACCCUUCUUACACUACCUAGGUUCGCCACUAUGACACCUUUGGAUACCGAGGAUCUAAAUUAUAGGUGAGUUUGUCACGUGACUCACGUCUUAUCACUACAUGGCAUGUAGUUAUGCGCAUGCAAAUGUGAUGG
rnacentral:lncRNA from 1 species